rnacentral:rRNA from 1 species
CGGAUUGAAGGCUGAAAUUCGCCUUCAUGAAGCCGGAAUUGCUAGUAAUGGCAGGUCAGAAUACUGCCGUGAAUACGUUCCCGGGCCUUGUACACACCGCCCGUCACACCAUGAGAGUUGGGAAUACCCGAAGCCUGUGAGCUAACCGUAAGGGAGCAGCAGUCGAAGGUAGAAUCAAUGAUUGGGGUGAAGUCGUAACAAGGUAAC